rnacentral:rRNA from 1 species
AUACGUAGGGGGCGAGCGUUGUCCGGAAUGAUUGGGCGUAAAGGGCGCGUAGGCGGCCCGGUAAGUCUGGAGUGAAAGUCCUGUUUUUAAGAUGGGAAUUGCUUUGGAUACUGUCGGGCUUGAGUGCAGGAGAGGUAAGUGGAAUUCCCAGUGUAGCGGUGAAAUGCGUAGAGAUUGGGAGGAACACCAGUGGCGAAGGCGACUUACUGGACCGUAACUGACGCUGAGGCGCGAAAGUGUGGGGAGCAAACAGGAUUAGAUACCCUGGUAGUCCGCACUGUAAACGAUGAAUGCUAGGUGUAGGGGGUAUCGACCCCUUCUGUGCCGCAGUCAACACAAUAAGCAUUCCGCCUGGGGAGUACGGCCGCAAGGUUGAAACUCAAAGGAAUUGACGGGG